rnacentral:rRNA from 1 species
CCCUUAGAUGUUCUGGGCCGCACGCGCGCUACACUGAUGCAUUCAACGAGUUUUUCCUGGUCCGAGAGGAAUGGGUAACCUUUUGAAAGUGCAUCGUGCUAGGGAUAGACUAUUGCAAUUAUUGGUCUUCAACGAGGAAUUCCUAGUAGACGUAGUUCAUCAGACUGCAUCGAUUACGUCCCUGCCCUUUGUACACACCGCCCGUCGCUACGACCGACUGUUUCUGUCAAUGAAGCUGUAGGAUUUGGUCCUGGCCGGGCUUCACGGCCUGGCUGCGGCACUGGAGAUCACAGUUUAGUUGAUACGAAAUACAGGACGUAAAAGUCGUAACA